UGAACGCCGGCGGAAUGCUUUACACAUGCAAGUCGAACGAUGAACCUUAGCUUGCUAGGGGGAUUAGUGGCGAACGGGUGAGUAAUAUAUCGGAACGUACCUUGUAAUGGGGGAUAACUAGUCGAAAGAUUAGCUAAUACCGCAUACGCCCUGAGGGGGAAAGUAGGGGAUCUUCGGACCUUACGUUAUAAGAGCGGCCGAUAUCUGAUUAGCUAGUUGGUGGGGUAAUGGCCUACCAAGGCGACGAUCAGUAGCUGGUCUGAGAGGACGGCCAGCCACACUGGAACUGAGACACGGUCCAGACUCCUACGGGAGGCAGCAGUGGGGAAUUUUGGACAAUGGGCGCAAGCCUGAUCCAGCCAUUCCGCGUGAGUGAAGAAGGCCUUCGGGUUGUAAAGCUCUUUCGCAAGGGAAGAAAACUUACACAAUAACACUGUGUGAGGCUGACGGUACCUUGAUAAGAAGCACCGGCUAACUACGUGCCAGCAGCCGCGGUAAUACGUAGGGUGCGAGCGUUAAUCGGAAUUACUGGGCGUAAAGCGUGCGCAGGCGGUUUUGUAAGUCAGAUGUGAAAUCCCCGAGCUCAACUUGGGAACUGCGUUUGAAACUACAAGACUAGAAUAUGUCAGAGGGGGGUAGAAUUCCACGUGUAGCAGUGAAAUGCGUAGAGAUGUGGAGGAAUACCAAUGGCGAAGGCAGCCCCCUGGGAUAAUAUUGACGCUCAUGCACGAAAGCGUGGGGAGCAAACAGGAUUAGAUACCCUGGUAGUCCACGCCCUAAACGAUGUCUACUAGUUGUUG
rnacentral:rRNA from 1 species